UACGUAGGGGGCAAGCGUUGUCCGGAUUUAUUGGGCGUAAAGAGCGUGUAGGCGGCCUGGAAGGUCAGCUGUGAAAACUCGAGGCUCAACCUCGAGACGUCGGUUGAAACCACCUGGCUAGAGUCCGGAAGAGGAGAGUGGAAUUCCCGGUGUAGCGGUGAAAUGCGCAGAUAUCGGGAAGAACACCCGUGGCGAAGGCGGCUCUCUGGGACGGUACUGACGCUGAGACGCGAAAGCGUGGGGAGCGAACAGGG
rnacentral:rRNA from 1 species